CUGCGGCAGCGACACUCAGGUGUUGUUGGGUAGGGGAGCGUUCUGUAAGCCUGCGAAGGUGGCCUGUGAGGGUUGCUGGAGGUAUCAGAAGUGCGAAUGCUGACAUAAGUAACGAUAAAGCGGGUGAAAAGCCCGCUCGCCGGAAGACCAAGGGUUCCUGUCCAACGUUAAUCGGGGCAGGGUGAGUCGACCCCUAAGGCGAGGCCGAAAGGCGUAGUCGAUGGGAAACGGGUUAAUAUUCCCGUACUUGGUGUUACUGCGAAGGGGGGACGGAGAAGGCUAUGUUGGCCGGGCGACGGUUGUCCCGGUUUAAGCGUGUAGGCUGGUUUUCCAGGCAAAUCCGGAAAAUCAAGGCUGAGGCGUGACGACGAGGCACUACGGUGCUGAAGCAACAAAUGCCCUGCUUCCAGGAAAAGCCUCUAAGCAUCAGGUAACACGAAAUCGUACCCCAAACCGACACAGGUGGUCAGGUAGAGAAUACCAAGGCGCUUGAGAGAACUCGGGUGAAGGAACUAGGCAAAAUGGUGCCGUAACUUCGGGAGAAGGCACGCUGACAUGUAGGUGAAGUGAUUUACUCAUGGAGCUGAAGUCAGUCGAAGAUACCAGCUGGCUGCAACUGUUUAUUAAAAACACAGCACUGUGCAAACACGAAAGUGGACGUAUACGGUGUGACGCCUGCCCGGUGCCGGAAGGUUAAUUGAUGGGGUCAGCGCAAGCGAAGCUCCUGAUCGAAGCCCCGGUAAACGGCGGCCGUAACUAUAACGGUCCUAAGGUAGCGAAAUUCCUUGUCGGGUAAGUUCCGACCUGCACGAAUGGCGUAAUGAUGGCCAGGCUGUCUCCACCCGAGACUCAGUGAAAUUGAACUCGCUGUGAAGAUGCAGUGUACCCGCGGCAAGACGGAAAGACCCCGUGAACCUUUACUAUAGCUUGACACUGAACAUUGAGCCUUGAUGUGUAGGAUAGGUGGGAGGCUUUGAAGUGUGGACGCCAGUCUGCAUGGAGCCGACCUUGAAAUACCACCCUUUAAUGUUUGAUGUUCUAACGUGGACCCGUGAUCCGGGUUGCGGACAGUGUCUGGUGGGUAGUUUGACUGGGGCGGUCUCCUCCUAAAGAGUAACGGAGGAGCACGAAGGUUGGCUAAUCCUGGUCGGACAUCAGGAGGUUAGUGCAAUGGCAUAAGCCAGCUUGACUGCGAGCGUGACGGCGCGAGCAGGUGCGAAAGCAGGUCAUAGUGAUCCGGUGGUUCUGAAUGGAAGGGCCAUCGCUCAACGGAUAAAAGGUACUCCGGGGAUAACAGGCUGAUACCGCCCAAGAGUUCAUAUCGACGGCGGUGUUUGGCACCUCGAUGUCGGCUCAUCACAUCCUGGGGCUGAAGUAGGUCCCAAGGGUAUGGCUGUUCGCCAUUUAAAGUGGUACGCGAGCUGGGUUUAGAACGUCGUGAGACAGUUCGGUCCCUAUCUGCCGUGGGCGCUGGAGAACUGAGGGGGGCUGCUCCUAGUACGAGAGGACCGGAGUGGACGCAUCACUGGUGUUCGGGUUGUCAUGCCAAUGGCACUGCCCGGUAGCUAAAUGCGGAAGAGAUAAGUGCUGAAAGCAUCUAAGCACGAAACUUGCCCCGAGAUGAGUUCUCCCUGAGACUUUAGGUCUCCUGAAGGAACGUUGAAGACGACGACGUUGAUAGGCCGGGUGUGUAAGCGCAGCGAUGCGUUGAGCUAACCGGUACUAAUGAACCGUGAGGCUUAACCUU
rnacentral:rRNA from 1 species